rnacentral:rRNA from 1 species
AAUGAUGUUAUUUAAUGGCCGCGGUAUUUUGACCGUGCAAAGGUAGCAUAAUAAUUAGUUUAUUAAUUGUAGACUGGUAUGAAUGGUUGGACGAAAUAUUUACUGUCUCUUUAGAAUUAUUUAUAAAUUAAAUUUUUAGUUAAAAUGCUUAAAUUUUUUUAUUAGACGAGAAGACCCUAUAGAUCUUUAUAUAUUUAUUUUUUAUUAGUUUUGGUUUAUUUUAUUUUAAUUGGUUAUUAUGUUUUGUUGGGGUGAUAGUAGGAUAUAAUGAACUCUUAUUUUUUAUUUACAUUGAUUUUUGUUUAGUUGACCUUGUAUUAUUGUUAUAAGAUAUAGAUACCUUAGGGAUAACAGCGUAAUUUAUCUUGAGAGUUCUUAUUGACAGAUGAGAUUGCGACCUCGAUGUUGGAUUAAGAUUAUGGUUGGGUGUAGAUGCUCAAUUAUUGGGUCUGUUCGACCUUUAAAUUCUUACAUGAUCUGAGUUA